rnacentral:rRNA from 1 species
AUUGAACGCUGGCGGCAGGCCUAACACAUGCAAGUCGAACGGUAACAGGGAUCAGCUUGCUGAUUCGCUGACGAGUGGCGGACGGGUGAGUAAUGUCUGGGAAACUGCCUGAUGGAGGGGGAUAACUACUGGAAACGGUAGCUAAUACCGCAUAACGUCGCAAGACCAAAGAGGGGGACCUUCGGGCCUCUUGCCAUCGGAUGUGCCCAGAUGGGAUUAGCUAGUAGGUGGGGUAACGGCUCACCUAGGCGACGAUCCCUAGCUGGUCUGAGAGGAUGACCCGCACACUGGGAAGUGGAACACGGUCCCGGCUCCUAGGGGGGGGCGAGGUGGGGAAUUUUGCAAAAGGGGGGAAAGCCUGAUGCACCCAUGCCGGGGGUAUGAAGAAGGCCUUGGGGUUGUAAAGUCCUUUCAGGGGGGGGAAAGGGAGUAAAUUUAAAACCUUUGCCCAUUGACGUUACCCCAAAAAAAAGCACCGGCUAACCCCGU